GCCGGGCGUGGUGGCUCACGCCUGUAAUCCGAGCACUUUGGGAGGCUGAGGUGGGCGGAUCACCUGAGGUCAGGAGUUCAAGACCAGCCUGGCCAACAUGGUGAAACCCUGUCUCUA
rnacentral:SRP_RNA from 1 species